GGGAAUCAGGGUUCGAUUCCGGAGAGGGAGCCUGAGAAACGGCUACCACAUCCAAGGAAGGCAGCAGGCGCGCAAAUUACCCAUUCCCGACACGGGGAGGUAGUGACGAAAAAUAACGAUACAGGUCUCUUUCGAGGCCCUGUAAUCGGAAUGAGCGUAUCCUAAACCCAUGGGUGAGGACCCAUUGGAGGGCAAGUCUGGUGCCAGCAGCCGCGGUAAUUCCAGCUCCAAUAGCGUAUAUUAAAGUUGCUGCAGUUAAAAAGCUCGUAGUUGGAUCUCGGGAGUGGGCUGGCGGUCCGCCGCGAGGCGAGCCACCGCCUGUCCCAGACCCUGCCUCCCCGGCGCCCCCCGGAUGCCCUUGGCUGGGUGUCCGGUCCUUUCAGGGGUCCGGAGCGUUUACUUUGAAAAAAUUAGAGUGUUCAAAGCGGGCCGCCAAACUCGCCUGAAUACCUGAGCUAGGAAUAAUGGAAUAGGACUCCGGUUCUAUUUUGUGGGUUUUCGGAACCAGGGCCAUGAUUAAGAGGGACGGCCGGGGGCAUUCGUAUUGCGCCGCUAGAGGUGAAAUUCUUGGACCG
rnacentral:rRNA from 1 species